UUGAGAGUUUGAUCCUGGCUCAGGAUUAAUGCUGGCGGCGUGCCUUAGGCAUGCAAGUCGAAUGCCGAUGCAUAAUCGGCAUGGCAGACGGGUGAGUAACGCGUAGGAAUCUACCUCUUGGUGGAGGAUAGCUCAGCGAAAGUUGGGGUAAUCCUUCAUAAGUUCUCCGGAAGAAAGGCUGUAACUGGCCGCCGAGAGAGGAGCCUGCGUCCUAUCAGCUUGUUGGUAGGGUAAUGGCCUACCAAGGCGAUGACGGGUAGGGGGUGUGAGAGCAUGACCCCCCACAAGGUAACUGAGACACGGUGCCUACUUCUACGGAAGGCAGCAACUAGGAAUCUUCGGCAAUGGGCGAAAGCCUGACCGAGCGACGCCGCGUGCGGGAUGAAGGCCUUCGGGUUGUAAACCGCUGUGGAGAGGGAAAAUAAUGAUGGUACCUCUCUAGAAAGCACCUGCUAACUACGUGCCAGAAGCCUCGGUGAUACGUAGGGUGCAAGCAUUAUCCGGAUUUACUGGGCGUAAAGAGUGUCGUAGGCGGUUUUAUAAGUGAUUGGUGAAAUCUUCCCGCUUAACGGGAAAACUGCCAGUCAUACUGUAAAACUAGAGUGACUUCGGGAAGGUUGGAAUUCUCGGUGUAGGGGUGAAAUCCGUUGAUAUCGAGAAGAACACCAAGGGCGAAGGCAGACCUUUAGGAGUUUACUGACGCUGAUGAACGAAAGCUUGGGGAGCGAAAGGGAUUAGAGACCCCUGUAGUCCAAGCCGUAAACCAUGCUCACUAGUUAUUCCAAUUAAUGGAGUGACGUAAGCUAACGCGUUAAGUGAGCCGCCUGGGGAGUACGGCCGCAAGGCUAAAACUCAAAGGAAUUGACGGGGAAACGCACAACCAGGGGAGCAUGUGGUUCAAUUCGAUACAAAGCGAAAAACCUUACCUGGGUUUGAAAUCUAUUUGACCGUUUUGGGAAACCAAAACUUUUCGCAAGAACAGAUAGACAGCUGCUGCAUGGCUGUCGUCAGCUCGUACCGUGAGGCGUCGGCUUAAGUGCCGCAACGAGCGCAACCCCUAUUUCGUGUUGCAUAUCACGAGAGACUGCCCUGCUAAAAGCGGGGAGGAAGGAGGGGACGACGUCAAGUCAGCACGGCGCUUACAUCCAGGGCUACACACAUCCUACAAUGGUGAAGGACAAUGGGCAGCGAAACCGCAAGGCGGAGCUAAUCCCACAAACCUUCCCUCAGUUCAGAUUGCGGGCUGAAACCCGCCCGCAUGAAGCCGGACUUGGUAGUAAUCGCGGGUCAGCAGACCGCGGUGAAUACGUUCCCGUUUCUUGUACACACCGCCCGUCACAUGAGGAAAGCCGGCAGCGCCCGAAGCGGUCCUGAUUGUAGGACAACUAAGGCGAGGUCGGUAAUCAGCGUGAAGUCGUAACAAGGUAUCCGUUCUGGAAGGAGCGGAUGGAUCACCUCCUUUCUAA
rnacentral:rRNA from 1 species